rnacentral:rRNA from 1 species
UACGUAGGGGGCUAGCGUUGUCCGGAUUUAUUGGGCGUAAAGAGCGUGUAGGCGCCAGGUAGGUCUGCUGUGAAAACUCGAGGCUCAACCUCGAGACGCCGAUGGAAACCCCCUGGCUAGAGUCCGGAAGAGGAGAGUGGAAUUCCUGGUGUAGCAGUGAAAUGCGUAGAGAUCGUAAGGAAGACCAGUGGCGAAGGCGAGUUUCUGGACAGUACUGACGCUGAGGCACGAAGGCCAGGGGAGCAAACGGG